rnacentral:lncRNA from 1 species
UUGGAUCAUGUUUCCUUGGAAAGACAAAAGCGCCUUUUGUUAAUCCAAAGCCAAACAUGGAUCCAAGAACAUCCGUGUCCCCGGCGUCUGGACACGGCACAAGCACGAGCAACUCGCAGGCUCCUCUCUGGACAGCGAAAAUCGACGAACCGGUGGUCCAAUCGUCCAACAUGCAAGAGGAGGAAUUGGCUUGGCGACGAUGCCGC